GGAAAAGAGGAGGCCAAAGAACUUAAAGUCAAUUUUAAAAUCACGAAGAAUUAUGAAAAGAAUAAUAUUGGAAUAAAAGUGAACCACCAGAUAAAAUCUUCAAGGAAAGAUGAGUGUCUCUAGAUGUGAGAAUGAGUGUAUAUAACAAGGAGCAGAAGGGAGUGGCAUAGUCCAAUUACAUGUCAGUCAAAACAGAGGUUUCAGGAAGGAAAGAGGGAGAAAGACUUAGAACCACCAAUGCAAGGAGCACACCUAUACCUUGUCCAGGUCCAGUGUGGCAAAAUGCUUUAAAAGUAUCUUCUUUCAUUGCAAAGUUAAGUUUGUGGAUUGCCUAAUUACUUAUUUAUGGUGUCACCUGUCAAAUAAAGGGUUUUAGGCUUAAAUUUGACGAUUAAUCCUUCCUUACCCUAAGGUCAUAAAUAUAUUCUCUUGUUUUAAAAGUGUUAUAGGUUUGAUUUUUACAUUUAAGGUUUGGUUUUAGUUUUUUUUGUUUGUUUGUUUUAUUUUUUGAGACAGUGUCUUGCUCUGUCACCCAGGCUGGAAUGCAGUGGUACAAUCACGGCUCACUGCAAGCUCCACCUCCUGGAUUCAAGCGAUUCUCCUGCCUCAGCCUCCUGAGUAGCUGGAAUUACAGGGUUCUGUUCUAUGUCAUUUCCUUUGAAGUCAGUGGGAGCUCUGUGCAGGACGGCAACACGAACACCAGCCUCUAUACAUGAAGGUGAGAACUGCCAUUACGAUAAACUAUUCAGCAGUGUGGUGGAGGGAGCAUUGGUUUAACACACUUGGUGGCUACCCUGCAGAUCCCACUGUCUGUGAGAGCUUUGUUCAACUGGAGCAAACAAGAACUUUUUGAAUUUUGACAUACAAGGGCUCAUUCAGCAGAGCAUCCCCUGUUAUGAGAGGAGGCACAGUGCUGGGCAGACAUUGCAGUUUUUAGCCAGCACGCUGAGGACAUUUCUCUCAUUCUCUCCAUCUGUAGAGAGUCUGUUUUUAAGACCCCCAAAAUGGUUUUCUAUAUAUUAGAGAGACAUAUAAAUAUUUUUACAUGUUUGUACCCGAUUACACAAAAAGGAAGGCAAAGUGCAAUUGUAUAAAAGUAGGUAGGUCUUUUCAAAAUGGAAAGAAAGAAUUCUUUGAAAAUUUUAGUUGAAGGGGUUAUUUGAUGAAAAGCAGAGCUCAUAAUAGAAACAAGGAAAAAAACUUUGACAUGGAGAAGGUAUUGAAAAUGAGGAAUCAUCUAUAUUUGCUUUCUGUAUCAGGAGCAUUAUUUUGUUCACUGAUCAAGAGUCU
rnacentral:lncRNA from 1 species